rnacentral:rRNA from 1 species
GACGAACGCUGGCGGCGGGCUUAACACAUGCAAGUCGAACGAAGUGGCGAACGGGUGAGUAACGCGUAAUCAACCUGCCCUUCAGAGGGGGACAAAAGGGGGAAACGACUGCUAAUACCGAAUAGUGAAGGAGGGGAUUGCGUCUUAUUGGUUAGUUGGAGGGGUAACGGCCCAACAAGGGGAUGAUCAGUAGCCGGUCCGUGGUGAUGAACGGCCACAUUGGGACUGGGACACUGCCCAGACUCCUACGGGAGGCAGCAGUGGGGAAUCUUCCGCAAUGGACGAAAGUCUGACGGAGCAACGCCUCGUGAGUGAUGACGUCCUUCGGGUUGUAAAGCUCUGUUAAUCGGGACGCGGUACCGGAAUAGAAAGCCACGGCUAACUACGUGCCAGCAGCCGCGGUAAUAC